rnacentral:rRNA from 1 species
AGUUAAAAAGCUCGUAGUUGGAUUUCUGCGGGGGCGGGGCGGCCGGUUGCUUAUAGCAACUCGAGCUAGCACUUCCCCUGCAUCCUGCCGCGAACCGUGCUACCAUUAGUUUGGUGGCGCCGGGGAUCGGCUCGUUUACUUUGAGAAAAAUAGAGUGUUCAAAGCAGGCCACACGCCUUGAAUAAGUUAGCAUGGAAUAAUGAUAAAGGACUUCGGUUCUAUUUUGUUGGUGUUCGGGACUGAAGUAAUGAUUGAUAGGGACAGUUGGGGCGGUCAGUAUUCCAAAGCGAGAGGUGAAAUUCUUAGACCUUCGGAAGACUAACAGCUGCGAAAGCGUUCCGCAAGGAUGUUCCCUUUGAUCAAGAACGAAAGUUGGGGGAUCGAAGACGAUCAGAUACCGUCGUAGUCUCAACUAUAAACUAUACCAGCUAGGGAUCGGCCGACGUUUACUUAUAUCGACUCGGUCGGCACCUUAUGAGAAAUCAAAGCAUCUGGGUUCCGGGGGGAGUAUGGUCGCAAGGCUGAAACUUAAAGGAAUUGACGGAAGGGCACCACCAGCCGUGGAGCCUGCGGCUUAAUUUGACUCAACACGGGGAAACUUACCAGGUCCAGACAUAGUAAGGAUUGACAGAUUGAUAGCUCUUUCUUGAUUCUGUGGGUGGUGGUGCAUGGCCGUUC